GAAAUGCGAUAAGUAAUGUGAAUUGCAGAAUUCAGUGAAUCAUCGAAUUUUUGAACGCACCUUGCGCUCCUUGGUAUUCCUUGGAGCAUGCCUGUUUGAGUAUCAUGAAAUCUUCAAAGUAAAUCUUUUGUUAACUCAAUUGGUUUCUACUUUGGUAUUGGAGGUCUUUGCAGCUUCACACCUGCUCCUCUUUGUUCAUUAGCUGGAUCUCAGUGUUAUGCUUGGUUCCACUCGGCGUGAUAAGUUAUCUAUCGCUGAGGACACUGUAAAAGGUGGCCAAGGUAAAUGCAGAUGAUCCGCUUCUAAUAGUCCAUUGACUUGGACAAUACUUUUAUGAUCUGAUCUCAAAUCAGGUAGGACUACCCGCUGAACUUAAGC
rnacentral:misc_RNA from 1 species